GGAUUAGAUACCCUGGUAGUCCACGCAGUAAACGAUGAAUACUAAUUGUUGGCGAUAUACAGUCAGUGAUACAGCGAAAGCGUUAAGUAUUCCACCUGGGGAGUACGCCGGCAACGGUGAAACUCAAAGGAAUUGACGGGGGCCCGCACAAGCGGAGGAACAUGUGGUUUAAUUCGAUGAUACGCGAGGAACCUUACCCGGGCUUGAACGUAGAGAGACCGAUGGCGAAAGUCGUCUUCUAGCAAUAGCUGUCUACGAGGUGCUGCAUGGUUGUCGUCAGCUCGUGCCG
rnacentral:rRNA from 1 species